AUGAGGUCACCUUGGAAAGGGAGAACCUAUCCCAGGGACCCUUGGGGAUCCUCGCUGCCCUUUAUUGGCCCAACUCAAGCCUUUCCUGUAAAUGUUAACCCGAGGGGGAAUAGGCCGGCAGCCUGGUACCCCUGGGAGGCCAGUGAUUUAAAAGAGCUCAAAAAGGCAGUGGCAGAGGAUGGCUCGAACUCCUCGUGGGCGGAGACUACUCUCCAGGGCCUGGCUCAUCAACCUUGUAUGACCCAAGACUGGAAGAUGUUAUGUAAGACAGUGCUCCCCAGUAACACCUAUAUCAAAUGGUGUGCCUUUCUCAAGGAAGAGUGUCAUGCUCAGGCAAAAAGAAAUCAAGCUGCCAACCCUGCUUUCCCCGGUGACUUUUGGGAUGUUGUCAGGGACGGCAGAUCAAUGGAGUACGGGACCUCAACAGGCCACCAUUCCUGCUCCUUAUACAGAUCAGGUACGGUCCAUAUGCUUGGCUGCCUGGAAAAAGCUUGCAGAGGGCCCCAGUGAGCCCCCUAUAUUGGGCAUCAUUCAAAAAAAUAAUGACGAUCUCUCCACCUUCAUAGAUCGGGUGGAAAAGAGUAUACAGAGAAAAUUCCC
rnacentral:lncRNA from 1 species